rnacentral:rRNA from 1 species
GGGGGAGCAAGCGUUGUUCGGAUUUACUGGGCGUAAAGGGCGCGUAGGCGGCCACCGCAAGUCAGUUGUGAAAUCUCUGGGCUUAACCCAGAAAGGUCAACUGAUACUGCGGGGCUAGAGUGCAGAAGGGGCAACUGGAAUUCUCGGUGUAGCGGUGAAAUGCGUAGAUAUCGAGAGGAACACCUGCGGCGAAGGCGGGUUGCUGGGCUGACACUGACGCUGAGGCGCGAAAGCUAGGGGAGCGAACGGGAUUAGAUACCCCGGUAGUCCUAGCCUUAAACGAUGAAUGCUUGGUGUCUGGGGUUUUAUAGUCCCCGGGUGCCGUCGCUAACGCUUUAAGCAUUCCGCCUGGGGAGUACGGUCGCAAGACUG